rnacentral:tRNA from 1 species
GGGAAUAUAGCUUAGUGGUAGAGCAUUUGCUUAGCAAGCGUGUUAAGGCCCUGGGUUCCAUUCCUAAUCCCU